rnacentral:tRNA from 1 species
CCUUAGCUCAGUUGGUAGAGCAAUUGACUCUUAAUCAAUGGGUCCAGGGUUCGAAUCCCUGA